rnacentral:rRNA from 1 species
GUCUAUGGCCAUGCCACCCUGAACAAGCCUGAUGUCUGAUCUUGGAAGCUAAGCAGGGUCGGGCCUGGUUAAUACUUGGAUGGGAGACCACCUAGGAAGACCAGGUGCUGUAGGCA